GAUCCUUCCUCUAUUGUUAAACUGUCAUUUCAUACAAUGCAAUUGACUAGAAAUCACGUUUUAUGAGACUUGAGAAGUAGAUAUUAGGAUUAACACUCAUUUUUAAAACAUAAUCAUGAUUUCUGGUAACUGUCUGUUGGAUAUAGACGAAAAUAAUCUCCAAUCGCAGUCAAUUGACGUAGAGAACAAGAUGAACCAGAUAGAUGAUAUAGACCUUGAGUAGUUUUAAAACACAAACAGCAAAAGUUCUUUUGAGCUUUGUUUUUGUCGCUAUACACCAUGGUUACAUAAAGUCAACACAAUUUGAAAAAUGAAUGUGUUGCUUCUGUGCUCCGUCGUCUCAUAUUCAUUCUAUAAAUGAGUAACUUGGUAAUAUACUUUUCGAGAAUGUUUAGAUGCUACAACUGUUUAAAUGCAUAGUGUAAUUUUGCUCGUCCAAAAUGUUCGACAGAGUUUGGCAUAAUCAUACUGCAGAACAUACUCCAAUCGUUUUGAGAUAUAAAUCUUGGAUUCUAACAAGGAUUCGAAGAACAAGAUAAUACUUGCACCAUUGGAAGCCGAAUUGCCACGACACUUAUCAGUAUGAAAAACUACACUAUCAACAGCAUUAGAAUUGACCUCAAAUAUGGCAUUGUUUCCUUCCAAAUUAUAACAUAACCACAGUAUUAGAUUCACGAGCGCUUAUUAUAAGCUGGAAAAAGGGGAAUAUUGAAACUAAAAGACAGUGAGCUGUGAAGGAAAAUUUGAACGUUAUGACAUAAAAAAUCAAGUUCCUCUCCUUUACACCGUACACCAUAUAAUAGAUCAAAAUCAAUAUGUUGUGUUAAGAACUAUUUAAAUGUUUCUGAUAAAAUUAAAUUAAAACGUUAUUGCAUAUUUUGUGUUUAAAAAAAUAUUGUGUCUAGCUUUUCAUCAAGUUCCAUUCAUAGUUAACGGACAGUUAAACAUGCAUAGUCAUUUAAAGCUUUUUCCUUCGGUCUGUUAUAUUUGAACGUCAUUUUGGAUUUUAAAAGUGUAUUUGAAUUGCCGUAUGAGUGUUUUCUUCAGUUAUAAUUUCCCAUAGGUCAGCAAGGUCUUAUCAAGUUUCACAUAAUUAACGGACGGUUAAACAUGCAUAGUCGUUUGAAGCUUUUUCCUUCGGUCUAUUAUGUUUGAACGUCAUUUUGGAUUUUAAAAGUGUCUUAAUAUUAUGCAUUUAAAUUGCCAUACGAGUGUUUUCUUCAGUUAUAAUUUCCCAUAGGUCAGAAAUUCUUACUACUCAAUGUUCGAAAGGUGACAUUUGAAAGCCUUUGUCAUUUGAAUGAAAAAAAAUGAAAAAAAAGUAAAAUUCCGAAGGAUCGUUGCUUUUAUGUUCACCUCAGGGUUCUUCUCCUGAAAUUAUUCGUGUCAGCCCUCAUAUCAUAUAGUACACUUUUGAUUUAUGGGGUAUUCAAUGACAAUAUAUCUUUAAAAAAAACAAAUAGUGCAAUCUUUUAUCUGUUUAUACUUACCUAGAAAUUACUCAUAAAGUAAAUAUGCUAUCAUGUGGUUAUUGUACUUAACAAACACAAUAAAAGUUAUUUUCACGUA